rfam:Mustela putorius furo unplaced genomic scaffold scaffold00383, whole genome shotgun sequence.
GCCUGGGUGGCUCAGUGGGUUAAAGCCUCUGCCUUUGGCUCAGGUCAUGAUCCCAGAGUCGUGGGAUCGAACCCCGCAUCGGGCU